GGCGUCUUCUUCUCCUCAGUCCGGAUCUUCUUGGAAGACAGAGGACCUGGCGGGUCCCGGGAGGGGGGCUGCAGCUUGGAAAACGGUUCUUUCUCCGAGACGGCGGCGGGGGCGCAGUGCACUAGGCUCGGCGGUUCCGCCAUUUUGCGCUCCUGUUGUAUUUACUCUCCUCCGCUCCCAGGAGCGGGGCAGGGGCGGGCUCUCCUCAGGGGGCAGGGAAGGGGCGGAGCGGCCGGGCCCUCCAUUGGGCGAGCCACGCUGAGAGAUAUCUUAAGAACCAAUCAAAAGCGCGAGUCUGGAGCCGAAGUUGUGGGGGGAAUCGCCAAGCGUACCAGUUUUGGAGGUCACAGGGCCGCGGGGCGCGGCUAAUGGCGGAGCAAGCUGUGAGGGGAGGGUCGUCCAGUUGUCGUCAGCGUGAACGCGGGUGCCCAGUGAGUGUCUGAGAGAACCCCAACUCCAGACCCCAAAGUCUGCCCCGGCCCCGCGCUCGCCUCUGCCUCGUCGACUUUGUCUUAUACCACUGUCCCUUCCUUUUUCCCUGGGGGGUCCUUUUGGUCCCUCCCCUGCCUUUUCCCGCUCAGAAAGCCGAAUUUCGCAGAUUCUCAGCUCCAAGGAGAAAAUUUUGCCGGAAAUUAAAUCCUUCCUUCUGUUAGGCAGUAGUCGAUUGAUGGGAGGAGCUAAAAGUCACUUGGUGUCCUGACAAGAUGUGUUACUCUUUUGCUAAGAUCGUCAUCUCUAAUGCUUUGAGGGGGGUAACUUCUGCACACCUAGAACUUUCGGAUUACUACCGAGCUUGAAGAAUCUUAUUUUGGAAGAGACUUUUUGGUUUUUCUAGACAUUGGACUUUCAUGUACAGUUAAAUUUUCAAGAUAAUUUUGGAGACUAACAUGGAGUUUUUUACUUUCAUUUUUGCCAAGUAGCUGUUGAGAUGUGUGCUAGCUUGAUGAACUUGUGCUGAAUAUGGAAAUGCUCUUCCGGGCCAAGGAAAUCUCAAAGAAAAUUAUCACCUUAAAAAGGUAUUACACCAGUACCAGAAGACAGAACAAUGAACACGACAGUUUGGGUCCCAAAGGAGUAAAAUAAGGCUAAAAAGGUAAGUUGGAGACAUACUGUGAAGGCCCAGAAUUUCACGGUAAGAAGUUUGAUCUUUAUAAUAUAGAAAUAUUACAUUUAAUUGGUGUGACAAAGUCUUAAAACGAGUAACUCUAUAACUUUUGUUUCAAAUUGGUGUUUUAUAGAAACUCAGAAAAUUAUUUUCCUUAUAAUAAAUUAGGCUGGAUUCCAUAUGAGAUGGAAAGAUUAUAGAGGUGAAGGAAAUGACAACCAAAAUAUUAGAACAUAACAUUAUAAAAACAAAAAACCUUCACUACUACCCUUUCUUCUAGAGAGUUAUUACUAUAUAAUGAACAGAGUAUUGGACUAGAAGGUAACAGAUGUGUGUUCUUAGUUGAACUCUGCUAGUCUAUGCAGGUCAACACCUUUGAGAACUAGCUAUAUUAACAUCCAUGUGAUCAAGAUUACUGUAAAAAUCACUGGGUUCACUAUAUCACUUAUCACUUUGACAUAUCAUUGACUAUCUACAGAAUGAAUAAAGAAUACAUGUGAUCUAAAAAAGAUGAGAAAACAUAUAUAAUAGACACUAUAUCAAUGCUAAUUAUUACUUUUUCACCAAAUGAUAUCUCCUAAACACCUUACACUUUGGAGUUGAGGAAGAUGAUCCACUUGUGUUUAACCUUUAUUUCUUGGUUUUACUAUGUAUUCUAAUAUCUAUCAAUAACUUUAAAAAUAAAUCUGAGAUUAAAGGUAUUUCUAAACAGUGAAAAGGAACAAAACAAGAAUUAGAAAAGAAAUAAAGCACAGAGAGCAUAGGAAAUUAGAGAAGUACAGUAAGCAUGCAUCGCAGUGUGUUUUGCCAAAAUCUACCCUCAUUUAUCUUUAAAAAAUGCCAAUUUGGAUAAUUCAAUUAGAACUUUAAACUUUCAGUAGUCAAAUAAAUCAAUCUUGUCCUUUGUGAUUUCCUUUAUCCCUUCUAUUAUAUCCCCCUCUACAAGUCUGUCAAACAUUAAACUAUAUUCUGUGUUUCAAUGAUUUGACUUUUUAUAUUUAAUUAAUUUAACUAUCUGAAGCUUACUUUGGUAUGUGGUGUGAUAUAAAGGUCUAAAUAUAUUUUUCCCCUAAUGGUUAAUAAUAUGACUUAAUAAAUAACCCUUUUUCCUUGUUUAAUAUAUGUUAAAUUAAUUCAUAACACGAUCUAUAUUUCCUAGUUGCUUAUUCAAGUCCAUCAACUAACUGGUAUGUAUGUAUGUGUGUGUGUAUAUAUACACACACACACACAUAUAUGCACACUUUUUUUUUUUUUUUUGGCCACUACAUGCAGCA